CCCAUCCCCAGAGUCAUGUCAGGUGUGGCUGGUCUGUCACAGGUGCUUCAGUAGGUGACAGAGAGGAGACUAUGCCUAUGCUCUGUGCUCUGACCUAUGAACAUCUGAACGGUUAGUAGCCUAACACU